rnacentral:rRNA from 1 species
UAGGGAAUCUUCCGCAAUGGACGAAAGUCUGACGGAGCAACGCCGCGUGAGUGAUGAAGGUUUUCGGAUCGUAAAACUCUGUUAUUAGGGAAGAACAAAUGCGUAAGUAACUGUGCGCAUCUUGACGGUACCUAAUCAGAAAGCCACGGCUAACUACGUGCCAGCAGCCGCGGUAAUACGUAGGUGACAAGCGUUAUCCGGAAUUAUUGGGCGUAAAGCGCGCGUAGGCGGUUUCUUAAGUCUGAUGUGAAAGCCCACGGCUCAACCGUGGAGGGUCAUUGGAAACUGGGAAACUUGAGUACAGAAGAGGAAAGUGGAAUUCCAUGUGUAGCGGUGAAAUGCGCAGAGAUAUGGAGGAACACCAGUGGCGAAGGCGACUUUCUGGUCUGUAACUGACGCUGAUGUGCGAAAGCGUGGGGAUCAAACA